GUCAGGCAUGGUGGCACAUGCCUGUAGUCCCAGCUACUCAGGAGGCUGAGGUGGGAGGAUCGCUUGAGCCCAGGAGUUUGAAGCUACAGUGAGCCAUGAUCACCCCACUGUGCUUCAACCUGGGCGACAAAGUGAGACCCUGUCUCAA
ensembl:misc_RNA Metazoa_SRP Metazoan signal recognition particle RNA